rnacentral:rRNA from 1 species
GACAGAGGUGCCAAGCGUUAGGCGGAAUCACUGGGCGUAAAGCGUCUGUAGGUGGUUUAAUAAGUCAACUGUUAAAUCUUGAGGCUCAACCUCAAAAUCGCAGUCGAAACUAUUAGGCUAGAGUAUAGUAGGGGUAAAGGGAAUUUCCAGUGGAGCGGUGAAAUGCGUAGAGAUUGGAAAGAACACCGAUGGCGAAGGCACUUUACUGGGCUAUUACUAACACUCAGAGACGAAAGCUAGGGUAGCAAAUGGG